rnacentral:rRNA from 1 species
GACAGAGGCCUCGAGCGUUAGGCGGAAUCACUGGGCUUAAAGCGUGUGUAGGCGGCUCGUUAAGUACCUUGUGAAAUCCCACGGCUCAACCGUGGAACGGCUGGGUAUACUGGCGGUCUUGGGCCAUUCAGGGGCGACUGGAACAAGCGGUGGAGCGGUGAAAUGCGUAGAUAUCGCUUGGAACGCCGAAGGUGAAAACAGGUCGCUGGGGAUGUGCUGACGCUGAGACACGAAAGCCAGGGGAGCAAACGGG